rnacentral:rRNA from 1 species
UACGUAGGGGGCUAGCGUUGUUCGGAAUUACUGGGCGUAAAGCGCGCGUAGGCGGUCAUUCAAGUCAGGUGUGAAAGCCCAGAGCUCAACUCUGGAACUGCCCUUGAAACUGUAUGGCUUGAGUAUGAGAGAGGUGAGUGGAAUUCCCAGUGUAGAGGUGAAAUUCGUAGAUAUUGGGAAGAACACCGGUGGCGAAGGCGGCUCACUGGCCCGUAUCUGACGCUCAGGCGCGACAGCGUGGGGAGCAAACAGG